GCGGGAGUGGCGAAAUCGGUAUACGCACCAGAUUUAGGUUUUGGUACUUAUAAAGUAUGCGAGUUCAAGUCUCGCCUCCCGUA
rnacentral:tRNA from 1 species